GUUAGCGGCGGACGGGUGAGUAACACGUGGGUAACCUGCCUGUAAGACUGGGAUAACUCCGGGAAACCGGGGCUAAUACCGGAUGGUUGUUUGAACCGCAUGGUUCAAACAUAAAAGGUGGCUUCGGCUACCACUUACAGAUGGACCCGCGGCGCAUUAGCUAGUUGGUGAGGUAACGGCUCACCAAGGCGACGAUGCGUAGCCGACCUGAGAGGGUGAUCGGCCACACUGGGACUGAGACACGGCCCAGACUCCUACGGGAGGCAGCAGUAGGGAAUCUUCCGCAAUGGACGAAAGUCUGACGGAGCAACGCCGCGUGAGUGAUGAAGGUUUUCGGAUCGUAAAGCUCUGUUGUUAGGGAAGAACAAGUACCGUUCGAAUAGGGCGGUACCUUGACGGUACCUAACCAGAAAGCCACGGCUAAUUACGUGCCAGCAGCCGCGGUAAUAGUUAGGUGGCAAGCGUUGUCCGGAAUUAUUGGGCGUAAAGGGCUCGCAGGCGGUUUCUUAAGUCUGAUGUGGAAGCCCCCGGCUCAACCGGGGAGGGUCAUUGGAAACUGGGGAACUUGAGUGCAGAAGAGGAGAGUGGAAUUCCACGUGUAGCGGUGAAAUGCGUAGAGAUGUGGAGGAACACCAGUGGCGAAGGCGACUCUCUGGUCUGUAACUGACGCUGAGGAGCGAAAGCGUGGGGAGCGAACAGGAUUAGAUACCCUGGUAGUCCACGCCGUAAACGAUGAGUGCUAAAGUGUUAGGGGGUUUCCGCCCCUUAGUGCUGCAGCUAACGCAUUAAGCACUCCGCCUGGGGAGUACGGUCGCAAGACUGAAACUCAAAGGAAUUGACGGGGGCCCGCACAAGCGGUGGGAGCAUGUGGUUUAAUUCGAAGCAACGCGAAGAACCUUACCAGGUCUUGACAUCCUCUGACAAUCCUAGAGAUAGGACGUCCCCUUCGGGGGCAGAGUGACAGGUGGUGCAUGGUUGUCGUCAGCUCGUGUCGUGAGAUGUUGGGUUAAGUCCCGCAACGAGCGCAACCCUUGAUCUUAGUUGCCAGCAUUCAGUUGGGCACUCUAAGGUGACUGCCGGUGACAAACCGGAGGAAGGUGGGGAUGACGUCAAAUCAUCAUGCCCCUUAUGACCUGGGCUACACACGUGCUACAAUGGACAGAACAAAGGGCAGCGAAACCGCGAGGUUAAGCCAAUCCCACAAAUCUGUUCUCAGUUCGGAUCGCAGUCUGCAACUCGACUGCGUGAAGCUGGAAUCGCUAGUAAUCGCGGAUCAGCAUGCCGCGGUGAAUACGUUCCCGGGCCUUGUACACACCGCCCGUCACAGCACGAGAGUUUGUAACAUUCGAAGUCGUUG
rnacentral:rRNA from 1 species